rnacentral:rRNA from 1 species
CCCUUAGAUGUUCUGGGCCGCACGCGCGCUACAAUGAUGAAUUCAACGAGUUUAUAACCUUGGUUGAAAAGCCUGGGUAAUCUUUUGAACUUUCGUCGUGAUGGGGCUAGACCCUUGCAAUUAUUGGUCUCCAACGAGGAAUUCCUAGUAAACGCAAGUCAUCAGCUUGCAUUGAUUACGUCCCUGCCCUUUGUACACACCGCCCGUCGCACCUACCGAUUGACUGGUCCGGUGAAAUCUUCGGAUUGAGACUUUGAUUUCUUCACGGAAAACGCUGUUUUAAAAAGUUGAUUAAACCUUACCAUUUAGAGGAAGGUGAAGUCGUAACA